rnacentral:lncRNA from 1 species
AUCAUGAUUCAUAAUCAUAAUUUAAUCAUUUGAUCAGUCAAAAAUUUCUUUGUGUAUGAUCCUAUAGGUUCUAUUCUAUCUGAUAGUGAGAUAUAUUAUGAUUUCUAUCAUAAUAUCAUUGAAACUCUUUUCAAUGGGUUGAAACUGUUCUAACUCUGCUCAUCAAGAAUCAUCGAUCAUCAAGAUGAUGCUCGUGGGUCUCAUAAUCCACCAGUGACAUCUAGCAGUAUGUAAUGAUAAUUCAGCAGAAUAAAAGGUGAUGAACCUCUAGGUGUAGUUAACGUAUGAUAUUGUUCCUCUAUCGUGAGUUUCAAUCGAAGGGCA